UGCAAGAUAGUUCACUGCUCGCUUUCCAAUUUCUGAGGCAGUUAUGAUCUAGUAUACGUUUCAGUUCUUUAGAAAUGAGCUGUAAAUUGGUCAACUGUUGGAUUGUUGAAGUCACACUUUACAAGUGGAAUAAAGCUCUUGUCUUUCUUAUUACUACAAGACUCAAGACUGAUGAUGAAACUGUUGCU